rnacentral:misc_RNA from 1 species
UCCGGUUUGUCACCGGCAGUUCCGUCCGAGUUCCCGGCAUCACCCGUUGGCAACAGACGGUAAGGGUUGCGCUCGUUGCGGGACUUAACCCAACAUCUCACGACACGAGCUGACGACAGCCAUGCAGCACCUGUGUGCACGCCCCUUGCGGGGACGCCCGUUCUCACGGACUGUCAUGCACAUGUCAAGCCCUGGUAAGGUUCCUCGUGUACCAUCGAAUUAAACCACAUGCUCCACCGCUUGUGCGGGCCCCCGUCAAUUCCUUUGAGUUUCACCCUUGCGAGCAUACUCCCCAGGCGGUGCACUUAUCGCGUUGACUUCGGCACAGAGCACCGACGUGCCCCACGCCUAGUGCACAUCGUUUACAGCGUGGACUAC